ACGACAGGCAGGGGCAGCCGGUAGAGAUCGAAAGGACAGCUUUUGUGGACUUUGUGGAGAAAGAGAAAGAGCCGAACAAUGAAAAAACCAAUAAUGGGAUUCAUUACAAACUUCAGCUGUUGUACAGUAACGGAGUCAGAACCGAGCAGGAUCUCUACGUUCGUCUCAUAGACUCGAUGACCAAACAGGUGAGAAAGUUUCCGCCUUACACUGGGGCU